rnacentral:rRNA from 1 species
UGGGGAAUAUUGGACAAUGGGCGCAAGCCUGAUCCAGCCAUGCCGCGUGAGUGAUGAAGGCCUUAGGGUUGUAAAGCUCUUUUGUCCGGGAAGAUAAUGACUGUACCGGAAGAAUAAGCCCCGGCUAACUUCGUGCCAGCAGCCGCGGUAAUACGAAGGGGGCUAGCGUUGCUCGGAAUCACUGGGCGUAAAGGGCGCGUAGGCGGACUCUUAAGUCGGGGUGAAAGCCCAGGGCUCAACCCUGGAAUUGCCUUCGAUACUGAGAGUCUUGAGUUCGGAAGAGGUUGGUGGAACUGCGAGUGUAGAGGUGAAAUUCGUAGAUAUUCGCAAGAACACCAGUGGCGAAGGCGGCCAACUGGUCCGAUACUGACGCUGAGGCGCGAAAGCGUGGGGAGCAAACAGGAUUAGAUACC